rnacentral:rRNA from 1 species
CCUACGGGAGGCAGCAGUGGGGAAUAUUGCACAAUGGGCGAAAGCCUGAUGCAGCGACGCCGCGUGAGGGAUGACGGCCUUCGGGUUGUAAACCUCUUUCAGCAGGGAAGAAGCGAAAGUGACGGUACCUGCAGAAGAAGCGCCGGCUAACUACGUGCCAGCAGCCGCGGUAAUACGUAGGGCGCAAGCGUUGUCCGGAAUUAUUGGGCGUAAAGAGCUCGUAGGCGGCUUGUCACGUCGGAUGUGAAAGCCCGGGGCUUAACCCCGGGUCUGCAUUCGAUACGGGCUAGCUAGAGUGUGGUAGGGGAGAUCGGAAUUCCUGGUGUAGCGGUGAAAUGCGCAGAUAUCAGGAGGAACACCGGUGGCGAAGGCGGAUCUCUGGGCCAUUACUGACGCUGAGGAGCGAAAGCGUGGGGAGCGAACAGGAUUAGGAUACCCUGGUAGUCCACGCCGUAAACGUUGGGAACUAGGUGUUGGCGACAUUCCACGUCGUCGGUGCCGCAGCUACGACAUUAACGUUACCCGUCCGUCGGGAGGUACGGCCGCGACGGACGUAAACCUACGAAGAAGUAGUACGACGNGAGAGACGCGACGACGACGACGACGGAGGAGG